CCCCCUCCCCCGUUCCUGCGAUUCUUGACCACCGGCGACACCACCUCCAACCACCACUCCUCCUCCACUUCCUCUUUCCUUCUUCUUCUUUUCUUUCUUUUCUUUCCUUUCCUUUUCUUUUCUUUUCUUUCUUUCUUCUUCCCUACCGUUGUGCUGCGCCUGCAGGUUGGAGCAGAUCGACCACCGCACGCCAUUGCUGUAGCUCGCCGCCGCAAGUCGCACCUCCACAGAGCAGCUCCACAUCGCGCCGGCAAGCUCAGAUCGCGACUGCUGCUCCUCUGUCGCUCCUACAGCAGCACCACAGCCCUGUCAAGGUGCUGCUGCCACUGCCGCCGCUCCAGCACGUCGAUCGGUCACCUCCGCCGAUCCCACAGCAGCCCUGCCGCUGCUCCAGUGCACCUCCGGCCACUAGCCUCCACCUGCUCUUCAUUCCGGCACGUGUAGCCUCCAUUUCUGGUCAAAUAAUUCCAGCAGCAAUAUUUAUUGGAUCGCUCGGAUCCAUGUAGUGCUCCUCCAGGACAGAAUCAAAGCUAGAACUUCGCUUUCCAUCACUGUAGUAGGAAGUUGCUGAUCCAACAGAAGCUCUGUCAUUUUCCUCGCGGAGCUACAAAAGUAAAUUUAUAACUUUUGUUAUUAUAAGUUGAGAAUUGUAUUAUUAAUUAUAUGCACUACUCUAUUUUCAAACUAUUGUUGAACUCCGCAGUUGUAGGGUCAUGUAUUUUCAAUUGGGCUUGCCGUAUGUGUUACCUUA